CCCGUGCCAUGCCGCGCGCCGCCCGCCCCUGCCCCGCGCCGUCCACGACCACUGCCAGUGCUGGGUCUGCGCCGCCCCUUCUUGCCCCAGGCCCAGCCGUCCGCGAGCCCUAGCGCCAACCCCGACCGCACGCGCCGCCGUCCCCGAGUUUCUGCGCCGCCGGAGCCGCCCGUCACCGUCCCAGCUGUAGCCGCUCGCCGCCGUCCCUGCUGGAGAGCCGCCCGCUGCCGUCCCCGCCCCGAGCCUCGACGCUGACCCCGGCAGUACGUGCCGCCGUCCCUGACCUCUGGCGCCAUCCCCAGCCCCUCCUCCCGCGCCAUCCCGUGAGGAGGUCCAGCGCGUGUGCUGCGAGCGCCGCGCGCAUCAGGGCCGCCGUCAGCCACGUGCCGCGAGACCAUGGCCCUGCUGGCCACCGCCAGAUGCCCCGCUCAUCCUACUAUGCUAUAGGUGCUGGCCCGGUCGCAGCUUGAGCCAUGCAUAGGUGAGGAUCUCUUCGAUCUUAGGGUUAGGGUUUGGGAGAUUUGGGGAUUUUCAUUAUGCAUCCCCUUCUUCUAAUUGCUUCAUGGAUUCCCACUACAGCCUCUCUGCGGCCACUUUCUCGCUCCCAGGUACCGGCUGGGGCUACCCUGGCACUCACCCACUACCCUCACCAUCGCACCAGUCCUUGAUUCUGUGCGUGCUUCUUUCCCAGUGGCGCAGGAGCUUGGGCGGCACCCGUUGAGCUCGGCGGCAGCGGGAGACACAGUGGCGGAGCUGAGGAGCGCGUGGGAGGACGUCAGGUAGCUUCUAUCCGCCUGCCGAUCCAGGUCUGUCGACCUCGAGCUGCAGGUCAAAGAUGAAAUGAUGGUGAUCCAAGAUUGGUUGUGAGGAGAGGAGUUCAAUCCUGAUUCGAAGCUAAUUAUGAUGUCUGAAGAUCUUUGCACCUCCGUGCAGCUCCUCACGCCGGACAGGCAAGCAAGAGAGCAGCAGCUAUGAGGACAGUUCUGAAGAUGAGUCGGACGACGACAAUGAUCACCUAGCAAUGCACUUCCAAGAUCCACAAAUUUUGUUUUGUUAUGCUGUAUAUGUGGCAUCCAUUGACAGGAUUCUUGAACAGGAGAAGGAGCACCUGAAAAUGGUUGUUGGAAAGAUUGAGUCCCGGGAACCUAAUGUGGUUGAGAUUGAUUUUCUUAGCAUGAAUAAACUUUGAUGUUGGCAUAACCUGUAGUGCGGAUUCCUCACAUGAUUGUUGUGCACA